rnacentral:rRNA from 1 species
UACGAAGGGGCUAGCGUUGCUCGGAAUCACUGGGCGUAAAGCGCACGUAGGCGGAUUGCUAAGUCAGGGGUGAAGUCCUGGAGCUCAACUCCAGAACUGCCUUGAUACUGGUGAUCUUGAGUCCGGGAGAGGUGAGUGGAACUGCGAGUGUAGAGGUGAAAUUCGUAGAUAUUGGGAAGAACACCGGUGGCGAAGGCGGCGACCUGGUCCGAUACUGACGCGAGGCGCGAAGCGUGGGAGCAAACAGG